rnacentral:lncRNA from 1 species
AUGAUAUCAACUCCAUGAUAUCAAUGUCAGCAUUUCUUUAGUUUCUAGAGUUCGUCCCACAAAGGAUGAGAUGCUUCAGAGCCUCUUUGGUGUGCCUAAGAGCCCCAGAGACUUCUAACUUCAUUUGGGAGAAGUCAACUACACAAAAGCUGCUCUUUCUCAGCCCCUCAGGGAUGAUAUCUUCUGCUACCGCCCCAAUAGAGAGCUUACCUGGAUAUAUACUGUCAUUAACCAAUGAAAUCUGCCUGUAGGAGUAAGCUAAUUUCCCUUCAGUAAACUAACUGGUCUGUGAGAAAUCGGGUGUUGAGAUGCCUAUUAAGGCAGUAGAGAUGCCCAGAGAAUUACUGUCGCCGCCAUGGGUUCCUGGGUUCCUGACAGGAAAGCUGGGGAUGGAUGGGAAGGACAGUGAGAGAAAUAAUGAGCCAAGACAAAGUUCUCUGAUCAAGGCUCAACUUUAAUUCUAGGGUCUGAUUUUUAAAGGGGGGAACCCAUCCUCCACUGUGCCAGGAUCUCCCCAGGAAAACAAGCUCAGCUGCUCAGCAGGUGGCUUCUUGCAGGAAGCUGCAGAUGUGGCACACAAUAGACUUUACCUACAUGGGAAGACUCCACCCUAGGUGGGCAAGGCAAUUGUGGCAAAAACAGGUCUGGUUCAGCCCACUCAAGGCUGGGAGGAAGAGCACAAAUUACUAAUAGUGCUGUGACCACUCAUUCCUGGGAGGUAACUCUGUUGCCUUGGAUGUAGGUUGGCAUCAGCUCUAUGUACUUUCCCUGCUGAGGUAUAUACAGUCUUUUUUUUUUAAUUAGAUACUUUCUUUAUAUACAUUUCAAAUUUCAAAUGCUCUUCCCAAAAGUUCCCUAUCCCCCCCCCCACCCUGCUGCCCUACCCACCCACUACCACUUCUUGGCCCUGGUGUUCCCCUGUACUGGGGCAUAUAAAGUUUGCAAUACCAAGGGGCCUCUCUUCCCAGUGGUGGCCGACUAGGCCAUCUUCUGCUACAUAUGCAGCUACAGACACGAGCUCUGGGGUUACUGGUUAGUUCAUAUUGUUGUUCCACAUACUCUUAAGGACUGCAUUGUGAUUGCCACAAAGGACACAUUAUGAGUCACCUCUGGCAUACUGAUGGUGUGGAUGGUGUCCACUGUCUGCAAAGGACCAUCAGGACGGACAUCUUUGGUAGCGUCAUGUCCUGUUUACCUAAGUGAGUAAGAAGGGUGGUUGGAUAGGCACGGUCAAGGUCAGAUGUAUAUAAAGCAUCUUCUAGUCCCAAUAAUCUGGAUGGAUUCUGAAGUUGCUGUUGACUGUCUUCUUCCAUGUCUGCAGUUGGCCUCUUGGUAAUGUCACUAAUGAUGGUUUUCCCAUUCUACCGUGUUGUGGAAAGAUCAGCCAAGCACAGAGGAAUUCCUGGUUCACUACUCUUCUCCCCCUAGAGCCCUUGAGCAGGCUGUUGACUGUGGACUUGGGAGCAAGAGGGCCUUAAGUCUUUACACUUGAUUCUCAAUGUGGUUAGAAUCUGGUGAGGGCACUCUUUCUAAGACUCAGUGACUGUAAAAUUGGCUGGCAGAGUGUUUUUCCCAUGGCGCAGGGCUGGGAUGAAUGGGGGCGGAAGAAGGAUAUGGACUUAAAAGCAAAGCCAGUUGAGUUGAAUCCUUGAAGCUACAGUGCAUUGUUCUUGGAAAUGCAGUCAUUGUAACCUGUUAUACCUUCUCUAACAUUUAAUGUGGGGCCCCUCACUUCCUCAUUUGCUGGCAUUAUUAUUAUUUAGG